AGGACGAACGCUGGCGGCGUGCUUAACACAUGCAAGUCGAACGGAAAGGCCCUGCUUUUGUGGGGUGCUCGAGUGGCGAACGGGUGAGUAACACGUGAGUAACCUGCCCUUGACUUUGGGAUAACUUCAGGAAACUGGGGCUAAUACCGGAUAGGAGCUCCUGCUGCAUGGUGGGGGUUGGAAAGUUUCGGCGGUUGGGGAUGGACUCGCGGCUUAUCAGCUUGUUGGUGGGGUAGUGGCUUACCAAGGCUUUGACGGGUAGCCGGCCUGAGAGGGUGACCGGCCACAUUGGGACUGAGAUACGGCCCAGACUCCUACGGGAGGCAGCAGUGGGAAUAGUUGCACAAUGGGCGGAAGCCUGAUGCAGCAACGCCGCGUGCGGGAUGACGGCCUUCGGGUUGUAACCGCUUUCGCCUGUGACGAAGCGUGAGUGACGGUAAUGGUAAAGAAGCACCGGCUAACUACGUAGCCAGCAGCCGC
rnacentral:rRNA from 1 species